AGAGUUUGAUCCUGGCUCAGAACGAACGCUGGCGGCAGGCUUAACACAUGCAAGUCGAGCGCUCUCUUCGGAGGGAGCGGCGGACGGGUGAGUAACGCGUGGGAACGUGCCCUUCACUGCGGAAUAGCCAUUGGAAACGAUGAUUAAUACCGCAUACGCCCUUAGGGGGAAAGAUUUAUCGGUGAGGGAUCGGCCCGCGUUAGAUUAGGUAGUUGGUGGGGUAACGGCCUACCAAGCCGACGAUCUAUAGCUGGUUUGAGAGGAUGAUCAGCCACACUGGGACUGAGACACGGCCCAGACUCCUACGGGAGGCAGCAGUGGGGAAUCUUGGACAAUGGGGGAAACCCUGAUCCAGCCAUGCCGCGUGAGUGACGAAGGCCCUAGGGUCGUAAAGCUCUUUCGCCAGGGAAGAUAAUGACGGUACCUGGUAAAGAAACCCCGGCUAACUCCGUGCCAGCAGCCGCGGUAAUACGGAGGGGGUUAGCGUUGUUCGGAAUUACUGGGCGUAAAGCGCACGUAGGCGGAUCUUUAAGUCGGGGGUGAAAUCCCGGGGCUCAACCCCGGAACUGCCUUCGAUACUGGGGGUCUUGAG
rnacentral:rRNA from 1 species